rnacentral:tRNA from 1 species
AGGGUUGUAGCUCAGUGGUUGAGCACUUGCCUGGCAUGUAAGAGGAACUGGGUUUGAUUCUCAGCACCACAU